rnacentral:hammerhead_ribozyme from 1 species
GCACUGCUGAAGAGUCCCAUAAUAGGACGAGGCGGUCUUCCAGUGC